UACGUAGGCGGCCUGUUAAGUCAGUGGUGAAAUGCACGAGCUCAACUUGUGACGUGCCAUUGAUACUGGCAGGCUUGAGUAUUGUAAAGGUAGGCGGAAUUGAUGGUGUAGCGGUGAAAUGCAUAGAUACCAUCAAGAACACCGAUUGCGAAGGCAGCUUACUAGGCAAUAACUGACGCUGAGGUACGAAAGCGUGGGGAGCGAACAGGAUUAGAUACCCUGGUAGUCC
rnacentral:rRNA from 1 species